rnacentral:snoRNA from 1 species
GCCAUAUCAUUAGGAAAUGAUACUUUCUGUGGCCUCUCCCAGUUUAUCCAGGCCAGUGGAGCAUGCAGCCCUGAACCAUUGCCCAGCCUCUCCACCAGUGGGCUGUGAGCACAGUGUGGAAGAAAA